GUGAACGCUGGCGGCGUGCCUAACACAUGCAAGUCGAACGAUGAUGGAGAGCUUGCUUUCUUGAUUAGUGGCGCACGGGUGAGUAAUGCAUAGAUAAUGUGCCCCUUAGUUCGGGAUAGCCACUGGAAACGGUGAUUAAUACCGGAUACUCCUUCUUACUAUAAGGUAAGUCGGGAAAGUUUUUCGCUAAGGGAUCAGACUAUAUCCUAUCAGUUAGUUGGUGAGGUAAUGGCUCACCAAGGCAAUGACGGGUAGCGGUUCUGAGAGGAUGAUCCGCCACACUGGUACUGAGACACGGACCAGACUCCUACGGGAGGCAGCAGUGAGGAAUAUUGCACAAUGGGGGGAACCCUGAUGCAGCAACGCCGCGUGGAGGAUGACGCAUUUCGGUGUGUAAACUCCUUUUAUAUGUCAAGAAAAUGACGGUAGCAUAUGAAUAAGCACCGGCUAACUCCGU
rnacentral:rRNA from 1 species